rnacentral:rRNA from 1 species
UACAGAGGCCUCGAGCGUUAGGCGGAAUCACUGGGCUUAAAGCGUGUGUAGGCGGACUUCUAAGUACCUUGUGAAAUCCCACGGCUCACCCGUGGAACUGCUCGGUAUACUGGUCGUCUUGAGCCUUCUAGGGGCGAGUGGAACAAAUGGUGGAGCGGUGAAAUGCGUAGAUAUCAUUUGGAACGCCAAUGUGAAAACAACUCGCUGGGGAAGUGCUGACGCUGAGACACGAAAGCCAGGGGAGCGAACGGG